CCCCCCUCACCCCUCCCCGGCUCUGAACCAGCAUCUGCUUUCACGGUCAGGGGGGCCAGGGGAUGUGGGGCCCGGGCCAGGGGACCACCUGCGUCUCAUUAGGCCUGUCAGGGGUAGAUUACUGGGGAGUUCACUCCCUGCUGAGUCACCCCGCUCCCUGGAGCCCCUCUACCACCCACCCCCUGGACCUGGUACCCCCAGCCCAUCCCCUGCUUCCCAAUGCCCCCCCCCACACACACACACCCCCCAGAUGUCUGUUUAUUUUCUUCCCCGGCCUGUGUUUCAUCAGCCUUUGGGGGAAGGCUAAGGAGUGGUGGGGAGGGUGUGGGCAUGCCUGGGUUCUGGGGAGGGGAGGCCCAUUAUGGGGGAGCAGAGGGCUGGGGAGGCAGCUUAGGAGCUCCUGAUGUGGGAGCCUGUCUGGGGCUGGAGGGGGAUAGGGGCAGCGGGGGCCAGGCCGUCUCCUGGCAGGGCUGGGACAUUUCUGAGCCAUGAGCACAGCCUGCAGGCGUCCAACUGCUGUCUGCCCCAGCUCAAGCCAGGGCCCCUCUCCAGCCCCCUCCCAGCCCCCCUUGCUCUGGCCCCUCAGGCCCCCUCCUUUCCCCUCCCACAGUGUUCCCCGGGGAUCUGUCUGGCUCCUGCACUGAGCGCACUGAGCGAGGGGCCUCUCUUGUUCUCUUCACCUCACCCCACCUCCCUUCCUUCUCCCAAACCUUUUACCUCAGCCCCCAUCCCACCUCAGCCUCCCCACUAAGACCCCUCUUAAGCAGUGUCUCAUUUUCUCAGCCCUGAAAGCCUGCCUCUUGCCUCCUCGCCCCCAUUGAGCCCGGGUGUCCUCCUGUCCGCCUCCCAAGCAUUCCUGGGGCCCACCUGCUCCUUUCUCCAUUUAGGUUCCAGGCCUCCUUCGAGCCCUCCCAGGUGCUCGUCACCCCCAACCUCUUCAUGGAUGCCCCUGCUUCCGUUCCCUCCCCUUCCUUCCAUCCUCUGCGCAGGCUGCCAGCACAGUCUUUCUGGAGGGCUGCUUUGUCAUCACCUGCUUAAAGCCUCUGGUGGUUCCCUAUCGCCUCAGGGCUGAGACUGUUGCUCACCUUGGACUCGAGAGGAAUUUUAAGUCCGGCUUAGGCUUACCUUAAGGACCUCAUCCCCUGACUGCCUGUGACUCCUCAAGUACAGUCUGGCCACACCAGAGCUCCCCCCUCCCCCGCCUUUGCCCACUCAGUUGUUCCCUGAGGGGCCCACCCGGUAGAGUCGUCUCUACCAGGCAUUGGGUGCAAACGGGCCAGGUCAGUGUCAUUCCUGCACGCUUUGCACGCAUCGCAGACUGGCAUGUGUGUUCGGUCACAGAUCAAAUAUCUUUUGAGCACCCGCUUUGUGCUGGCUGUUGGGGACACAGUUUCCGCCCUUAAGGAGUGGCAAACACCGGCAUUAGCUCAUUGCAGAUGUUAACGUGGUUAUACAGGAGCCUCUGUGGAAUGGAUGAACAAAUGAGGUAUCCAGAGGCACAGAGUAAGAAAGGGCUCUGGCCCAGGUCCCCUCUCCUAAGUCAGUAAGCCCCUUGGAUGAGCCCAGGUGGCCUCCUUGACUCGGCUCUGUAAUUGCUGGUAAGAGUUGUCUCUCCCCCCUAGUUGUGUCGUGCCCUGGAGCCAGGUUGCCAGCUUUCAGAUCCCGGCUGUGCCACCUGUUAGCUGGGAGACCUUGGACAAGUGCUCUCUGUUUCAGUUUCCCCCUUUGAAAAUGAGGAUAGUAAUAGUAUCUCCUUCCCAGGGCUGUGCUAAGAAGUAAUCUAGAACAAGUGCCUAUAUACCAUAUGCCACACUACCCACGAUGCGUGACUCUACCUACAAUCGGUAAGUAAGAAAUUUUAGUUAUCAUCGUUUACGUCACGAUUGUGAUCUCAGGUGAACGGUGUGCCUUCCAUGUGAUUUUUCUCCUUGCCUGUGGAAGAGAUAGUUGCCUGCCUCUCCGCAUCCUCCAGCGUUCCCUCAGUCCUUUGUAAAGGCAGGGAGCUACUCCGUCUUCCUGCCGUUUGCCCUGUUGCCGGGCACGAUGGCUGGAGCUCCAGCCACCUCUUUGGCCAGUGAGGAUGAGGCCCCGUCAAGAGAUGGCAGAAGAACGUAUGUAGGUGUGGCAAAGCAGGCACUCUGUUCGCUGGAUGUGGUCGGGAAUUCGUUGAACCUUCCAGAGAAAGAGGCUUGGUACAUACCAAGAGCCAGGAACACCUCUCUGAAGCUGCCGUCUGAAGGAAAUACUCUGACAUUUGACAAGGCGCGUGUACUGGUCAGUGGGCAUAUUCGUGGGCUGCCCACCACGGGAAUCUUCUUCCCGUGUUUGGGGGAUCCCCCCCCCCCCCCGCCACCUGGAAUACCUGUGCUUGCUCUCCCAGCCUUCCUUGCGGUUCUGUUGAGGGCACCUGACCUCGGUUCAGCCAACCAAAAGCAUUGCCCUGGGCUUUGUUUAGGGAGAGCUUGGUUUAAAAAGCAGGAGAUUGAAGAAUUCACUCUUGGGGCGGUAGUGACCCCUGAGGCAUCUGACUUCUGGUCCUCUGGCUGGUUGGUGGUGGCUUUGCAAGCACCGUGCCGAGUCACAUAGGCUCUGGCUCGGGCUGCAAAGCCCUGAGCUUGGUUCUCAGCACCUCUUGGCAAUUGGUUUUCUCUGCCCACGAUCUGCUUGCAAAAGACCCCCUUCUCAUGAGUGAAGAUGUUUACAUGAGGGCUUUUUCACGGCCAACAGCAGACGCCAACCCUGACCAACUUUGUUGGAAGGCUUUCGGGGCCUUAGAAUUGUGGAGGACUAGCAAGACUGGGGACCAGUGGUUGCUCAGGCUGCUCCAAGGUCCUCAGUGGCGGUCUUGUAGUGGGGACAGUCUGUCAGGGUGGUGCUGCUCCCUGGACAGGCCGGGUCUUGGUCAGCCUGCGAGCCAGGAGGUGGGGAGCACCCGUCCCACUGGCCUUGCUUCGGUCGCUUGCCUACCCACUUGGCAUUUGCCCCUCCACCUCCUUAUCACUGGGUUCCCGUGGCCCCUGGCUUCUGGCUGGUUUCGGCCAGUGGGCCAGUGGGAGGCACCAACAGGAGGUGGAAGAACAGGGAGGUUGGGGUGUUUGUCCCUGGCUCCCACCCUGCCUAGGACUGUGGUUUCAGCAAUGGCUGUGCCCGCCUCCCCACCUCCAAUUAUAGCUCUUGCCGUAACCCCCUUCACUGGCCCUGAUAACUCCAUAUCCUCCCCUUACCCCUGCCGCCUGGGAUGCUAAGGCCCCCACCACUGCUAGUCCCAGGAUGGCUUCCUUAAUGCCCAUGCCCAAGUAAGUAGUCCAUUAAAUUCCCUUACAAACAGAAGCUGAGGCUGCCUUUAUUUCUUGCCAGGACACCAGGGCUUUCUUAGGUUUUGUUCUAAAAGCCCAGCUCCCGUGGACUGUCUUAGACAACAGCCAAAGACAAGACCCCCGCACUGUCUGUGGGUGCCGGGCAUCGUGUCUCCAUAGGACUUUCCUAACUGCCCCUCAGCUCAUCACCCGGCCUUCAGCCCGAACCGGGAGAGGGCUGAGGAGGGGAGUUUUUGAAGGGAACUCCUAGGAGCAGAGGGCACUCAAGGAGGGGAGAGGGUGUGUCCCCCAACUCGGGCCAUGCGAGGGGGCUCCAAGAAGGGUGAGGCUGUCUGUAGGAGAGACCCUGGCUGAGCAGCUGCAAAGGGCCGCUACUGCAGCAGGGGGAGGGGCUGUUGGGAAGAGGGCUGGGGCCCUCAGGGUCACUGGCAGGACAAGGAUGUAGUGUCCCUUGAGCACCUACUAGGACACAUCAGGCAUCCUUUAAUCCCUAUGUAGGCAGCUGCGGACAGACAUGGCCUUCAGCCCUCCUGGAGCCAGAGGGGGAAACAAUGACAGCGUGAAAUGAUGAGCAACGUGAAAUGAAAGCAGAGGAGGGAUGGGAAGGAAGGCCACGGAAGAGGAAGAAGCGUAUCUUCUCCAUCUUCUGCAAAGCGCGAGUCCCUUAAACCGAAUUAUAACGAGGUGUAACGUCCAUGCAGUGCAGCAGACCCGUCUUCACAGACAGGUACACCCGCUCACCGCCACCCAGUUGAAACAUACCCGGCAGGUUCCCUUCCCUGGUCCUGGGAAGGACUCAUGUUGAUUCACAGUCUUUAAAAAACCCCCGGCUGGCUGGGUGGAGGGUGGGUUGGUGAAGGGCAGGGGAAGGAGUGGACUUCUCAGGCCGGUCAUCCGCUCCCAGGGGCCACCGUGGGUGGGGCGGGAGUGGCCUGUGGCCUCGGCCCUGCAUCUGGCUCCCAAGGCUGCUCAGGCCUCUCGGCUGACCGGGUCCCUCUGCUCUGGCACUGGGACAUCGUUAGGAUGCUGCACACUGGGUCAUCUGAUCAGGGUGGGGGGUUCCUGCCCUUUUGCCGCCAGACUCACUGUCAGAAGGCGGGAGGUGGAUGGAGCUGGGGACACGUGGGCACAGUGGGGUGAGCCACCAGGCUUGCCUCCAAGGCUCUUUAAGAGCUAGCAUUUAUCGGGCGCCAACUGCACGUUAGGCUGUCUGCAAUAACCCUGCACAGGAGCAAUUAUUACCUUCAGUUUUACUGCCGGGAAACUGAGCUCGAGUGAGAGGAGUUACUUGGCCUGGGGAGCUGGGUGGAACCAGUAUUUGAACUGAGGCCUGUUUGAUGCCAAAGCCUGGGUGCUAUCCAGUGCCCCCCACAACCUUGCUGGUCUGGUCCCGCUGAAGGAAGGUGUAGGCCAGCUGGCCGGGGAGGUCUAUACGCAGAGGUCUGGACCGCAGCCGGCCCCCGGCUCUGUUCAGUCUGACUGUCUGCUUAUGUCCAGCUGUGAGGCACGGGGGAACCUGGGUCCAACUGGGCAGAAUCUGUGAUGGGAAGUUUGCUCCUCAGGGGCCAGCUGGCUGCGACUCCCAGCUUCUUGGCUGACCGCCUGGAUGCUCCAGACCUGGGUAGGCGGAA